rnacentral:piRNA from 1 species
UNGCAUAUGGCCAGAACUUUUGAGGAUGUA